UACGUAGGGGGCUAGCGUUGUCCGGAUUUAUUGGGCGUAAAGAGCGUGUAGGCGGCCAAGUAGGUCCGGUGUGAAAACUCGAGGCUUAACCUCGAGAUGUCAUCGGAAACCAUUUGGCUAGAGUCCGGAAGAGGAAAGUGGAAUUCCUGGUGUAGCGGUGAAAUGCGCAGAUAUCAGGAGGAACACCGGUGGCGAAGGCGACAUCCUGGACCGGUAUUGACGCUGAGGCGCGAAAGCCAGGGGAGCAAACGGG
rnacentral:rRNA from 1 species